GAUGAAGAACGAAGCGAAAUGCGAUAAGUAAUGUGAAUUGCAGAAUUCAGUGAAUCAUCGAAUCUUUGAACGCACAUUGCGCCCCUUGGUAUUCCGAGGGGCAUGCCUGUUCGAGCGUCAUUAUAACCCCUCAAGCUCAGCUUGGUGUUGGGGCCUGCUGCACUGGCAGCCCUUAAAAUCAGUGGCGGCGCCAUCUGGCUCUAAGCGUAGUAAUUCUUCUCGCUAUGGAGUCCUGGUGGAUGCUUGCCAUCAACCCCCAAUUUUUCUAUGGUUGACCUCGGAUCAGGCAGGGAUACCCGCUGAACUUAAGCAUAUCAAUAAGCGGAGGA
rnacentral:misc_RNA from 1 species